rnacentral:rRNA from 1 species
UUUUGACCUCGGAUCAGGUAGGGAUACCCGCUGAACUUAAGCAUU